GGCGGCUGCUGAGGGGCAAUGGCGGGAAGGGGGGAGGGGGGGUGGAAAUGGCCGCCUGCAGUGGCCGUUCCUCGAGCUCGCUGAGGCGACGGGAGGAAACGCGAUGAAAGGGCGCCGCCGCCGCUCCUGCUUUGCAUGCCGAAACCGCAGCGCCGGCCGUCACCUGAGGCGCUGUCCAGGAAAGCGCCGCUUCCCCUUUUUUCCCCUCCCUCUUCGUUUUCCUCCCUGCAGUUUCUGGCCUUCCUUUGCGAAUAAACUUGAGAGCAGCAUGGGUUUGGACAGCAUCUGUGAACACUUCAAAACAUUUUGAGAAACAAGAUGAGAAAGCUGCAGGCAGACCUCAUCGCUCCCUACAACUACCUGGAAGGAGGUUGUGGUGAGGAGGGCGUUGGUUGCUUUUUCUCAGGUGACAAGUGAUAGGACGCAAGAAAAUGGCCUCAAGUUGCACCAGGGGGGGUUUAAAUUGGAGAUCAGGAAAAAAAAAUGGAAAGUUUUACAUUGGAACAGGCUGAUGAGGGGAGUGGUAAAGUCUUCAUCCCUGGAGAUAUUAAGAGUUGUGUCAGUGUGGCACUAAUAGGCAUGGUCAUUAUUUAAUGGUGGGCUUGGUAGUGUUAGGUGAUAGUUGGACUUGGUGAUCCUUACAACCUGAAUGACUCCAGGAUUCUAGGAGUCCAUGAUGAGAUUUAUUACUGUUAAAAUAUUAUUGCAAUCAAUGCAAUUUCACGCGAAACUACCACAGCCUGUCAUAGUUUGCUGAUCCCUGUUAGCACCAGUUGGUCAUGUAGUACUGUAAGCAUGGCAGGAUGACAGUACUUCAGAUACUCACUGUCAGUUUACUUUAGUCCCUUUAUCGUUAUCUCUCAACCUGUGCUUUUGCUACCAUGACAAUGUGAGCUUUUCCAAAAAAAAAAAAAAAAAGAGUGUAAACAAUCAGAAAUGGGAAGCGUGCUCUAGUCCCAGCCCUAGCUUCCAAGUAAGGCUGUUAUGAAUAAAGAUGGCACAGGGUGCUAUGUAAUUUGCCCC
rnacentral:lncRNA from 1 species